rnacentral:rRNA from 1 species
UGGUGGAGUGAUUUGUCUGGUUAAUUCCGAUAACGAACGAGACCACAUCCUGUUAAAUAGUAGCGCCGAUCUUCUAAACGGGUGAAGCGAUUUGACUUCGUCUGUCCGGGAAACUGGGUGGCGGAUUGGAUCGUGGAUCCUUGAUGCAUCGUGCGCAUUAAUAAUUUACUUCUUAAAGGGACUAUUCACGUUUAGUGACUGGAAGUGUGCAAUAACA